AACCAUGUUUUUCACGGUGGAUCACCUUCUUUGAUUGGUGGAGCAUGAGUUAUAGCAGGGGGAGAGAAAGGGUUAAUUGGUAUUCUUCCUGUUCAAGAUGCUGCCGAGGCAGCAACAGUGGACUCUGUGUUGUCUCUAGGUGAUUUUUGCUUAUUUCUCCAUUUGUUACGGAUGAGUGGAUGCCUAUGAUUACGUGAAAGUGAAAUCUAAGAGGUUUUUUUAUUGUUAUUGUUGGGAUUUUGCCUAAUUUUAGGAAUGGGAAGUGAUUCUGGUGAACGAAGCUCUAGAGUUCAAGUUUGUACUCAUCUCUCAUUCUUCUUCUCUCUCCUUCUCUACUGGAAAAUCCAGUCUUUCAUCUUCCUCGGCUCUUCCUUUCUCUCCGCUCCCCGUAUCUCUCUCCUUGGAGCCUACAAACCAAGUCGUGACGGUCGACAAGCUUCAAACAUGCUGGACGCGUACUGGAGAAGGGACAGUUCUGUCCGUUGCGGAGACGGGGGAGUAUGGGGGUAGGGAAGAGGAUUUUCGGCAGGGAGAUAUGGGUUUAGGGAGAAAGAGUAAGGGAGAAGUAUGGGGUAGGCUGAUUUCCAGGGAUUUCCUUUCACCCCUUCACUCACCACGAACCCAUCUUUCUCUUCGUUUCUCCCACCCUCAAAUCUUCCGUUUUCCCUCUCUCAAAAUACCCACCAAGGAAACCCUGCUUUUGGUUUAUUUUGGGAUUUUGUUUGUGCUCUCGAUUUUCAGACGAGGGGCCCAUUGGUUGAGAUUUGGAUUUCUCCCCUUUUUGUCGAAGCGCACAAAUUGUGUUUCAGUGGGAUCGGUCUCGAAUAGCUGCGUGCGUCUACUCUUUUCAAGGAAACAAUGCUUUUUGCUUUCUAGAACCGUUUGGAGAGUGCACGACUUGAGGAUCUCAGGCCCAAGGUAAAAGUGUAGUUCUUGGGUACACACACAUUUAUCCAAUAAAUAAGUUCAAGACAUUGUUUUCAGGGGAAAGACAGAAGUCUCAGGCAGCGGUCUCUCUGUAAUCAUCGCCGGGAAAAUAUCAUGGUCAUUUUGAGUUCAAAUUUAGACAACAUGUGGUCUGUGCAAUAUAUCCAUAUAUGGAUCAAUGCUAUGGACUAUUCUCAACCUAUGGACCUCAAAUUUCAGUGCGUCUUCCAUCAUUUCUCCUACCUCACUGUAUGUAGCUAUUACAUUUGCAAUCAUAUUAAUUCAUUGAAAAAAAUAUUUAUAUUUCUCUAUAAAAUAUACUAUCAUUUCCUUGUUGGUACAUUAAAAUGGAAAUAUGAAAGGUAGAACCGAUCAUCGCUGGGCUCUCUCUUUCCACUGUGUUGUUUGCUUUACCUAUCAUUUUUACUUUUCUGUUUCGCAGCUCUCUGACAAAUAUCUUAUUAUGCCGCUCUCGAUCUCGCCCGAGGGUGGUGCAAGUCGAUUCGAUGCUACGAGGCACUUUGUUUAGGGCUAUUUGAGAGAGAGAGGUGUUGGGUGUUUGAGGCAAGGGGUUUCAGGGAUUAGGUUUGGGUGGGGUUUCAAGGAUUAGAUUUUGGUGGUAUUUGAAUAAUUAGGUUUGGGUUUUUGUUUAUGCAAUUGGCAGAGAUGGGGGGUCCAAGAUAGGAUUAGGAGAUUUGAUUUAGGGUUUGCAAUGUUGGAUUUAUUCCGAUCUAAAUCACCCUUAAAUAGUCUACAACAUAUAAUAGGAAUGUAAUAUUGGAGAUUAAUGUAGAUAUUGUGAUUUGAUUUCCUAAAUAUAUCAAUCUUAUAUUAGGUGUCUUGUAAUACAAGUAAGAUUGAUGGAGUCCUUGAUUUUAUGUGAUUAUGACAACUAACUGAUACGCUAAAAAAGUGGGAUUUGGGAUUCUUUUAUGGAUGGAACCUUAAUGCCUAAGCCAAUAUAAAUACUAAGGUCCCUGCAAACCCUAGAUACACAACAAACGCUUCCCAUAAAGUAGUUGUUUCUGGCUAGGUGCUUUGUAGAAGACUUUGGUGUUGCCGCAUCCUACAUCAUCUCUGCUUGGUAUUCAAUGGCUAUUGCUUCACGAUCAGGUCAAUCAACUCCUUGUUUGUGUUUUAAUUAUAUAACCACAUAAAGUUUACAUGUGGUAUCAGAGCCUCUGGUUAUAUAAAUAAAACCGAUUAGGUUUAAUAUUGGAUUACAUAAUAUUCUCAUGAACUGCGUGUGUUUAAUCCAAUUUGUGAUUGCAUAUGCUUGGCAACACCACCACGCCGGACCUCCUUGAAAACGGGAUCAGUUUGUUCCGCAUAUAAUUGCAUAUACUUGGCAUAUUAAUAUGAUAUGUACAGCACAUAUUUUUCACCAGUUCCUAUUUGGUCUUAGAGACCGAAAUUAUUAGUUAAAUAAAACGAUUACAUAAUUGGAUAAUCUGUUUCUGCGAGUAGUGUCUCUUGAGUUCAAGUUUUGCUUCCACCGCCACCAUCCUUCAAACCCAAACGUGGGCCUUUAUUUUAAUUGAAGCGAUUAAUGAUGAUAUUGAAUUAACUAUAAUAAAGAAAGAUUGAAAUAGUUAGUUCAUUAUUUUAUUGAAUUAGUUUUAAUUGGAAGACCUGGUACUUUAGGCUUCCUAUUUCAAUGUUCAUGUUAAUGUUUUGGUUCAAUUGAAAUAAUCAUGUGUUCUAACUUUGCACUGGAGAAUUUUUGAGAUGAUCAGUGAGCCCAAUGAGGAGG